rnacentral:misc_RNA from 1 species
UGGGUUUGACAUACGCCGGAAAGCCCCAGAGAUGGGGCCCCUUUUUGUCGGUGUACAGGUGGUGCAUGGCUGUCGUCAGCUCGUGUCGUGAGAUGUUGGGUUAAGUCCCGCAACGAGCGCAACCCUCGUUCUAUGUUGCCAGCACGUCCUUCGGGAUGGUGGGGACUCAUAGGAGACUGCCGGGGUCAACUCGGAGGAAGGUGGGGAUGACGUCGUAUCUCACUG